rnacentral:rRNA from 1 species
UACGUAGGGGGGUAGCGUUGUCCGGAAUCAUUGGGCGUAAAGAGCGUGUAGGCGGCCCGGUAAGUCCGCUGUGAAAGUCGGGGGCUCAACCCUCGAAUGCCGGUGGAUACUGUCGGGCUAGAGUGCGGAAGAGGCGAGUGGAAUUCCUGGUGUAGCGGUGAAAUGCGCAGAUAUCAGGAGGAACACCAAUUGCGAAGGCAGCUCGCUGGGACGUAACUGACGCUGAGACGCGAAAGCGUGGGGAGCAAACAGG